rnacentral:misc_RNA from 1 species
AAAGAAAAAAAAAAAAAAAAGGGAGAGAUAUGAGUUGGGGCAAUGAAAUGUUUAUUGGAGAAAAAGUUUCCUGGAUACAUGAGUGGGUUUCACAACUGCAAUAAAGCCCUCAUGGGUUGAUACUCUGAUAAUCUUUCCUUGUUAGAGAUCUUCUACUUGAUAGGCUGAGAGAUGUGUACUGAAUGUAAAUUAAUUACAAGCUGCGAAUCAAACCAGCAUGGAGAAUCUGAGAGAAAUAGGGCCAAUACGUAUCCUCUUCAUAGCAUUUGCAAUCUUUGACGAAUCUCGAUUGAACAGUGGCAUUACGAGACAGACUCUUCAAGCAUUGGCGGUAACCGUAUGAUUAGCACUGGAAUCGUGAUUCGAGUAGAGAGUCUCUCUUCCUCCGCCACUAUUCGCUUCACUAAGAAAUUUACAUUGCUGCUUGUAGUCAACCCAAAUGGUUAAAAUCGUUGACAGGAAAGGGAACGUAGACGUGAAGAAAAUUUUGUAAAGGGAACGAAGACAUAAACAUCAAACCACAGGUUUGGUUGCAGAAAGAGAGGAGUGAAGAGUGAAAG